UACGGAGGGUGCGAGCGUUGUCCGGAAUCACUGGGCGUAAAGGGCGCGUAGGCGGCCGAUCAAGUCGGGGGUGAAAUCCCAGAGCUCAACUCUGGAACUGCCUUUGAUACUGGGUGUCUUGAGUAUAGAAGAGGUGAGUGGAAUUCCGAGUGUAGAGGUGAAAUUCGUAGAUAUUCGGAGGAACACCAGUGGCGAAGGCGGCUCACUGGUCCAUUACUGACGCUGAGGUGCGAAAGCGUGGGGAGCAAACAGG
rnacentral:rRNA from 1 species